UGCGGAAGGAUCAUUAUCGAGUUAGGGUCCUCUGGGGCCCAUCUCCAACCCUUGCCUACUUACCAUGUUGCUUCGGCGGGCCCGUCUUUCACCGGACCGCUGGGGAUCUCCCCGGCCCGUGCCCGUCAGUAGCCCCUCGAAAUUCUUGCAACGGUGAUGUCUAAGUCUAAACAUAAUAAGCAAAACUUUCAACAACGGAUCUCUUGGAUCUGGCAUCGAUGAAGAACGCAGCGAAAUGCGAUAAGUAAUGCGAAUUGCAGAAUUCCGUGAGUCAUCGAAUCUUUGAACGCACAUUGCGCCCUUUGGUAUUCCGAAGGGCAUGCCUGUUCGAGCGUCAUUAUCAACCCUCAAGCCCGGCUUGCUGUUGGAUCUCACCGGUAGCGAUACCGAUGGACCCGAAAGAUAAUGGCAGAGUCCUGUGAGACCCUGGAUGCAGCGAGCUUCUUCAGCACGCGUCCCACGCGGCUCCCCGGCUCGGGCUUUAACCCAACCAACAUCAUCUGGUUUGACCCUCGGAUCAGGAAGGAAUACCCCGCUGGAACCUUAAGCAUAUUCAUUAAGCGGAGGGAAAAAGAAACCAACCGGGGAUUUGCCUCAGUAACCGGCGAGUUGAAGGCGGCAACAAGCUCAAAAUUUGAAAUUCUGACUCCUUUUGGGGGGUCCGAGUUUGGAAUUUGUAGAGGAUGCUUCGGGCAAAGGCUGCGGUUUAAAUUUGCUUGGAACAGCACGUCAUAGAGGGGUGAGAAUCCCCGUAUGGGAUCGGCGAGUCGUCGCCCAUGUGAAGCUCUUUCGGACGAGGUCGAGUUUUUUUGGGAAAGCCAGCUCUAAAAUGGGGGGGUAAAUUUUAUCCUAAAGGCUAAAAUAUGGCCAGAAGCCCGAUAGCGCACAAGUAGAGUGAUCGAAAGAAGAAAAACCACUUGAGAAAGGAGAGUUUAACCAGUAUGUGAAAUUGUUGAAAAGGAAGCGCUUNNAAUCCAGAUUUGGUGGCACUUGUUCAUCCGCGUUCGGGCCCGGGUCAUUCGUCACGUCCCGCCCAGCAGCGGUCUGGACGGUCGGAUAAAGAUCCCGGGAAUGUAUCUUCCUUCGGGUCGAGUUAUAGCCCGGGGUGCAAUGCAGCCCACCCGGACCGAGGAACGCGCUUCGGCUA
rnacentral:rRNA from 1 species